CCUACGGGAGGCAGCAGUGGGGAAUAUUGCACAAUGGGGGAAACUCUGAUGCAGCGACGCCGCGUGAGUGAAGAAGUAUUUCGGUAUGUAAAGCUCUAUCAGCAGGGAAGAAAAUGACGGUACCUGAUUAAGAAGCCCCGUCUAACUACGUGCCAGCAGCCGCGGUAAUACGUAGGGGGCAAGCGUGAUCCGGAUUUACUGGGUGUAAAGGGAGCGUAGACGGCAGCACAAGUCUGGAGUGAAAUGCCGGGGCUUAACCCCGGAACUGCUUUGGAAACUGUGCAGCUAGAGUGCAGGAGAGGUAAGUGGAAUUCCUGGUGUAGCGGUGAAAUGCGUAGAGAUUAGGAGGAACACCAGUGGCGAAGGCGGCUUACUGGACUGUAACUGACGUUGAGGCUCGAAAGCGUGGGGAGCAAACAGGAUUAGAUACCCCUGUAGUC
rnacentral:rRNA from 1 species